rnacentral:tRNA from 1 species
CGGCGUGUAGCUCAAUUGGCAGAGCGCCCUUUCUUCGCGUAGAGAGGGAGGUUGUGGGUUCGAAUCCUGCCACGCCGCC